CACAACGAUAACUGCAGCGGGUCCCUUAUGUGCAAUAGUCCAGGUAAGUUGUGGCCGACAAUUAUCACCAAUACCUUUUGCGUUAUUUCACUAUAAUCAAACUGAGUCAUAAGUGGCUGGUAUUAUUGUAAUCACCAUUAGGCCGUCUUCAUAGCUACUUCUAAUUCACCUAAGCGGCCGGACGUCUUGCUUGAUGCUCGCCGCCGGCCUCGCACUCCGCCUCAGACACCAGCUCGGCACCGCUAUGGGUCUCACACCGACGUUUUCUGGACAGGUAGACCAAAAUUGUAUCGAACUCGCAGACCGAUCCUGAAUGCGAUCAGAAUUACUCAGGCAAUUAUACGAGCACGGGGCUUACACUACGCCUCGAAAUAUGCCCCUGGCCUCGCACAACGACUGGCUGAGGUAAUAUUUGAGGCCUUAUUUUAUCGUAUUUUGCGAGAGUUCAGCUCCAUUUAGUCCUUCAAGAUGUUUUCUAAACAUGUUUCUAAUGGGUUGUGGGAUUUUAUUAAGCUACUGGAUGUAAUAGAACAUUAUCUAGCAAGGUGCGGGAGGGAGGUGAAGGCGCCUGUAUUCUUCCUAACCGUAUUGGAAGCAGAGCAUCCCUCUCAUGACCGGCGGUGUUCUCCGAGCUGCCGGGAGGAGGCGGCGGCAACCAAGCGAGCUCCUCGGCCAGCCUUAGCUCCGCCCCUUCUGCCUGGUCGGCGGUGCUGCCCUCUGAUAGCCACGCACGCUACCAGCGCAAGAGCCCGCCCGCCACCCACCUCGUCCGUCCCUCGGGUGGAAAAUCGGGCGCUGGGAGGGCAAUAAAAUUCUUGCAGGGUUACUUCUGUGUUGGUCUUGCAUACACUCUACCCUCCUUUAUUUGCGGAACGUCUCUGACGCCUCUUUACAGAGUUGCUGAAGAACUGUCGACGCUUCCUCUUCCUUCUCACGUGAUGUCAGGGUCUUCGAUGAUGGAUAACUUCCGUGCUCUGCUCCAGCUAGCACAUGCCGUCCAUUCACCCUCGGCGCCGACCAGAGCGCUGCGGUCGCUGGAGCUCAAUAGCACAGACCCGGUAAGUAAGACAGGUGACAGUACUGGAGGUGGGAAUGCUAACACCUGCUUUUACUAACAUCGAUUAUGAGAAAAAUGGGAUAAUUAUUCGGAUUAGCAGUUAAGGCUUUAUAUAAGGAUACUGUUUAUUAUAUAUUUACCAAUGUUGAUCAAGAUGUAAAGAAUUAAGUAAGGUUACUGCUUGGAUGAUAGUAAUAGAUUGAUCAGGCACGUGUUCCUCAUGCAUUUUCAUGUUAUUGGCGAUUACCUACGAAGUAAGAUUUUUUUUAUUUGUAUUCAUUUAUUUAUUUUUAUUUUUUUUGUUUCGAGGAACGUAAUUAUGGGAACAGAUUUUCCUGUUUUCUCUGCCUGGACGUAUUUUACAAGAUCAUUAGGAAGUUUAUUUUUAAGCUAAACUAAGAUGUAUUUACCUUGUACUUAUUGAGUGAAAAUCAGAUUUUGAAGGUAAUCCGUUCAUAAAGACACAAUGUAACUGUGAUAGAGUUGGCGGAGAGAGAGAGAGAGAGAGAGAGAGAGAGAGAGAGAGAGAGAGAGAGAGAGAGAGAGAGAGAGAGAGAGAGAGAGAGAGAGAGAGAGAGACUCACAACAAGAACGAGGGUCCGUGAACACAGAGAGAGUGAGCUUUCCAGUUGAUUUGAUGGCUCUCCCGGAAAAGUCUCUGGGAAGUUUUAAUGAAUGUGUAAAUUGGAUUGAUAACGAGUUAGGAAAAGUAAUUAAACUUGUAGAAUAUAUUUCCUUCGGUCUUAACACGAGUGUCCGCCGCUGAAG